GAUGAACGCUGGCGGCGUGCCUAACACAUGCAAGUCGAGCGAACAGACGAGGAGCUUGCUCCUCUGACGUGAGCGGCGCACGGGUGAGUAACAUGUGGAGAACCUACCUAUAUGACUGGGAUAACUUCGGGAAACCGGAGCUUAUACCGGAUAAUAUCUUGAAGCGCAUGGUUGAAUAGUGAAAGACGGUGUUGCUGUCACUUAUCGAUGGAUCCCCGCCGCAUUAGCUAGUUGGGAGGGUAACGGCUUACCAAGGCAACGAUGCGUAGCCGACCUGAGAGGGUGAUCGGCCACACUGGAACUGAGACACGGUCCAGACUCCUACGGGAGGCAGCAGUAGGGAAUCUUCGGCAAUGGGCGAAAGCUUGACGCAGCAACGCCGCGUGAGUGAUGAAGGUCUUCGGAUCGUAAAACUCUGUUAUUAGGGAAGAACAGCUGUCUAAGUAAAUAUGGCCGUCUUGACGGUACCUAAUCAAAAAGCACCGGCUAACUACGUG
rnacentral:rRNA from 1 species